AUGGAGUGGGAAUCUACUUUUGGUAUCUACUUGCAAAGAUCUGAUGGAACGGGAUCUUCAGGUUUGAACACGAUUUGGAGAGAUCUUUGGAAGUGCGCUGUUCUAGCAAAAGUGAAAAUUUUUACUUGGAAAUGUUUCCAUGGGAUUCUUCCAUGUUACGAUGUUCUGGUUAACCGCCACAUAAUGAAUAAUAGUACGUGUCCGAUCUGUAAGAGAUAUUGUGAAGACAUAAAACAUGUUAUUUUUUAGUGUGAGGAAGCAAAAGGUAUUUGGCAGAGAAUUGGCUUGAUAGAGGUGGUUACUGAAGCAUGUCAGAUAGACCGGUCAGGUAGUGCAGUGCUUGAUUAUCUGAUGGCUGGAAAGUUCAGGGUCCCAGUUGAUGCAUCAGUAAAGUUUUUGAGAGAAACAAUCAUAACGGCCGCUUGGUAUAUUUGGUGGAGACGAAAACAGACAGUCCAUGCAGAAACUGUGCAAUCUUUAUCACAAGUGGCGAUGUCAAUUCAAGUCCUGGUAUCUAGUUUCUCGAAAGCUCAAGGGAAAGAGAUUCAGCCAAGAUCAAGUACUUGGCAUCGGGCGUCUGAGGGCUUUGCCUCUGUAAAUGUUGAUGCGAAGUACGAUAUUAAUAUGAGGUCAGGAGCUACAGGUGUGGUAAUUAGAGAUGAUAAAGGAAGAUUUGUAGGCGCGGGAUCCAAGCUCAUUCCUUUUGCGCUUGACGCGGCAACAGCUGAAGCUCAAGCAGUUCUAGAUGGUAUUCAUCUUGCAAAUCAAAUAGGCUGUCAGAAAUUAGUUAUUCAGUCUGAUUGUGCAGGAAUUAUUGAUACUAUUCUGGAAGGCGGUUCUCUGUGA
rnacentral:rRNA from 1 species